rnacentral:misc_RNA from 1 species
GAUGAAGAACGUAGCGAAAUGCGAUAAGUAAUGUGAAUUGCAGAAUUCAGUGAAUCAUCGAAUCUUUGAACGCACAUUGCGCCCCCUGGUAUUCCGGGGGGCAUGCCUGCUCGAGCGUCAUUUCACCACUCAAGCCUCGCUUGGUAUUGGGCAACGCGGUCCGCCGCGUGCCUCAAAUCGACCGGCUGGGUCUUCUGUCCCCUAAGCGUUGUGGAAACUUUCGCUAAAGGGUGUUCGGGAGGCUACGCCGUAAAACAACCCCAUUUCUAAGGUUGACCUCGGAUCAGGUAGGGAUACCCGCUGAACUUAAGCAUAUCAAUAAGCGGAGGA